ACUCAAUAGAUACCCAGGUAGUCCACGCCCUAAACGAUGUCUACUAGUUGUCGGGUCUUCAUUGACUUGGUAAACGCAGCUAAACGCGUGAAGUAGACCGCCUGGGGAGUACGGUCGCAAGAUUAAAACUCAAAGGAAUUGACGGGGACCCGCACAAGCGGUGGAUGAUGUGGAUUAAUUCGAUGCAACGCGAAAACCUUACCUACCCUUGACAUGGUCGGAACCCUGAAGAGAUUCGGGGGUGCUCGAAAGAGAACCGAUACACAGGUGCUGCAUGGCUGUCGUCAGCUCGUGUCGUGAGAUGUUGGGUUAAGUCCCGCAACGAGCGCAACCCUUGUCAUUAGUUGCUACGAAAGGGCACUCUAAUGAGACUGCCGGUGACAAACCGGAGGAAGGUGGGGAUGACGUCAAGUCCUCAUGGCCCUUAUGGGUAGGGCUUCACACGUCAUACAAUGGUGCAUACAGAGGGUUUGCCAACCC
rnacentral:rRNA from 1 species